UAAGGAUCGACCCUUACCUAUAAUGGGACAAGAACCGGGAAAAGUUAAAAAAGUUGCACAGUUAGCCAAGACAAUUUUAAAUGGACUGAAGCUAAAUAGUUACAUAGACAUGUUGAAAGAAGACAUCAAACACUUGCCAACAAGAUUAAGCAAUUCCAAAACUAAGG